rnacentral:tRNA from 1 species
GGGGUUAUAGUUAAUUAUAACAUUUAAUUUGCAAUUAAAAGGUACUUUAAGUUUUCCUCA